rnacentral:rRNA from 1 species
UUUCCGGUUGAUCCUGCCGGACCUGACUGCUAUCGGAUUGAUACUAAGCCAUGCGAGUCUUUGCAGUAAUGCAAGGCAUACGGCUCAGUAACACGUAGUCAACUUACCCUAUGGACGAGGAUAAUCUCGGGAGACUGAGCAUAAUACUCGAUAGAUCAUAAUGCCUGGAAUGGUUUAUGGUUGAAAUGAUUCGUCGCCAUAGGAUGGGACUGCGGCCUAUCAGCUUGUUGGUGAGGUAAUGGCCCACCAAGGCGAUUACAGGUACGGGCUCUGAGAGGAGAAGCCCGGAGAUGGGUACUGAGACAAGGACCCAGGCCCUAUGGGGCGCAGCAGGCGAGAAAACUUUGCAAUGUGCGAAAGCACGACAAGGUUAAUCCGAGUGAUUUCUGCUAAAGAAAUCUUUUGCAAGUCAUAAAACCACUAGUGAAUAAGGGGUGGGCAAGUUCUGGUGUCAGCCGCCGCGGUAAAACCAGCACCUCAAGUGGUCAGGAGGAUUAUUGGGCCUAAAGCAUCCGUAGCCGGCUCUGUAAGUUUUCGGUUAAAUCCAUGUGCUCAACGCAUGGGCUGCCGAAAAUACUGCAUAGCUAGGGAGUGGGAGAGGUAGACGGUACUCGGUAGGAAGGGGUAAAAUCCUUUGAUCUAUCGAUGACCACCUGUGGCGAAGGCGGUCUACCAGAACACGUUCGACGGUGAGGGAUGAAAGCUGGGGGAGCAAACCGGAUUAGAUACCCGGGUAGUCCCAGCUGUAAACGAUGCAGACUCGAUGAUGCAUUGGCAUAUAGCCAGUGCAGUGUCGCAGGGAAGCCGUUAAGUCUGCCGCCUGGGAAGUACGUACGCAAGUAUGAAACUUAAAGGAAUUGGCGGGGGAGCACCACAAGGGGUGAAGCCUGCGGUUCAAUUGGAGUCAACGCCGGG